GUGCUUGUCUCAGGAGCACAUAUACCAAAAUUGAAUCAAUACAGAGAAGAUUAGCAUGCUCUCUGCACAGUGAUGACAUGCAAAGUGUUCUUAGGUAAGUGUUC
rnacentral:snRNA from 1 species